UUGCUUCAGCAGCACAUAUACGAAAAUUGGAACGAUACAGAGAAGAUUAGCAUGGUCCCUGCUAAAGGCUGACAUGCAAAUGCAUGAAUUGUAUUUUUUUUUG